AACGCACAUUGCGCCCGCCAGUACUCUGGCAGGCAUGCCUGUUCGAGCGUCAUUUCAACCCUCAAGCCCUGCUUGGUGUUGGGGUCCUGCAGCUGUAGGCCCUUAAAAUUAGUGGCGAGCUCGCUAGCAAACCCGAGCGUAGUACUUAACACCGCUCCAGGGCGUGUCAGCGAGUUUCAGCCGUUUAAACUCUCUAAAACCAAAGGUUGACCUCGGAUCAGGUAGGAAUACCCGCUGAACUUAA
rnacentral:misc_RNA from 1 species